CGCUCCAGCGCCUCCAUUCUCUCUGCUUGCUUCUCCUCCCACCUCCUUCCAUCUCAGCCCACUGGCCUGACUUCUUCUCUUUCCAUUGCUCAUUCUUUCUUUCUUUCUUCGACUAACCCAUUCCUCUCCUACUAUAGGUGACUACUCUCAGGACUUGUCUAUCUCUCGACAUCUUCCAACACACCUCGAUUCCUCCAUUAAAUGGCAUCGCCAUUUCUAGCCAUUCAGCUUUCCAUGCUUUCCGACGGUCUACGAACAAUCCUUCGAUACGUCUUAACCAAUCGACUGGACGGCAUUGUCGUCUUCAUGUAUAGGACUUGUCUAUCUCUCGACAUCUUCCAACACACCUCGAUUCCUCCAUCAAAUGGCAUCGCCAUUUCUAGCCAUUCAGAUUCAAUCACUUCGUCAAGUCCAAAAGCUUCAACACUCAUCACCCUACAUGGACACAUCUCUGACCUUACCUAUUCUAUUCGAAUUUCAAACGGGUUUGCUCUGCAACCUAUCCUUAGACCUAUCCUUAUACCUAUCCUUCUCUCAUAUCCUAUCUUUACUCUGAGCGGCACCGGAUGACACUGGCGACGAACAAACGGCUACGAGGCAUUCGAGAACGACAGACUGGAGGCCGACAGGCCGAGCGAGCGAACGGACGAAACGAAACGAACAGCCACGAGGCAACCGAGACGAAUCGAUCCAUUAAAACCCCAAACGGCGAUGAACGGACGAUCGGAGUGGGAUGUCAACAUCCAGCAACCCCUAUAUCAAGCAGAUAUCUAACCCGGGGGGUGCCUGAUGCGGACAUCCCGCCGCUCCCAGAAUCAUUUAGGAUACACAACCGGGAGUGUUAGGUUUCUCUUAUACGAACAACGAACCGAACGAACGAGGCGGAUCGAUCGAACGGACG
rnacentral:lncRNA from 1 species